rnacentral:rRNA from 1 species
GACGAACGCUGGCGGCGUGCCUAACACAUGCAAGUCGAACGGAGAUGUUGAUUUCGGUUGACGUCUUAGUGGCGAACGGGUGAGUAACGCGUGAACAAUCUGACCUUAAGAGGGGGAUAACAACGAGAAAUCGUUGCUAAUACCGCAUAAGACCACAAUGCCGCAUGGCGAAGGGGUCAAAGGAAGCAAUCCGCUUAAGGAGGGUUCGCGUCCCAUUAGGUAGUAGGUGAGGUAACGGCCCACCUAGCCGACGAUGGGUAGCCGAGCUGAGAGGCUGAUCGGCCACACUGGAACUGAGACACGGUCCAGACUCCUACGGGAGGCAGCAGU